AGAACUGUAUGCGGUGGAUCACUCGGCUCGUGUGUCGAUGAAGAGUGCAGCCAACUGUGUGAAUUAAUGUGAAUCGCAGACUGCUUUGAACAUCGACAUCUUGAACGCAUAUUGCGGCUAUAGGCUUGCCUAUGGCCACGUCUGUCUGAGCGUCGGCUUAUCAACUAUCACUGCGCGUAGUAAGCAGUGGCUUGGGAGAGUGUC
rnacentral:rRNA from 1 species